rnacentral:rRNA from 1 species
GACGAACCACACAAACGUUAUUCGGAAUUACUGGGCUUAAAGGGUGCGUAGGCGGCGCGGAAAGUUGGGUGUGAAAUCCCUCGGCUCAACCGAGGAAUUGCGCUCUGAACUGUCGUGCUUGAGGAACCUAGAGGUGAGCAGAACAGAUGGUGGAGCGGUGAAAUGCGUUGAUAUCAUCUGGAAUACCGGAGGCGAAGGCGGCUCACUGGGGGUUUUCUGACGCUGAGGAACGAAAGCCAGGGUAGCGAACGGG